rnacentral:rRNA from 1 species
AUUGAACGCUGGCGGCAGGCUUAACACAUGCAAGUCGAGCGGAGCGAGGGUGCUUGCACCUUAGCUUAGCGGCGGACGGGUGAGUAAUGCUUAGGAAUCUGCCUAUUAGUGGGGGACAACAUUCCGAAAGGAAUGCUAAUACCGCAUACGCCCUACGGGGGAAAGCAGGGGAUCUUCGGACCUUGCGCUAAUAGAUGAGCCUAAGUCGGAUUAGCUAGUUGGUGGGGUAAAGGCCUACCAAGGCGACGAUCUGUAGCGGGUCUGAGAGGAUGAUCCGCCACACUGGGACUGAGACACGGCCCAGACUCCUACGGGAGGCAGCAGUGGGGAAUAUUGGACAAUGGGGGGAACCCUGAUCCAGCCAUGCCGCGUGUGUGAAGAAGGCCUUAUGGUUGUAAAGCACUUUAAGCGAGGAGGAGGCUACUCUAGUUAAUACCUAGGGAUAGUGGACGUUACUCGCAGAAUAAGCACCGGCUAACUCUGUGCCAGCCGCCGCGGUAA